GUCCACGCCCUAAACGAUGCGAACUGGACGUUGGGAGCAACUAGGCUCUCAGUGUCGAAGCUAACGCGUUAAGUUCGCCGCCUGGGAGUACGGUCGCAAGACUGAACUCAAGGAAUUGACGGGGCCCGGCACAAGCGGUGGAGUAUGUGGUUUAAUUCGAUGCAACGCGAAGAACCUUACCUGGUCUUGACAUCCACGGAAGUCUGCAGAGAUGCGGAUGUGCCUUCGGGAACCGUGAGACAGGUGCUGCAUGGCUGUCGU
rnacentral:rRNA from 1 species